UACGUAGGUGGCAAGCGUUGUCCGGAUUUACUGGGCGUAAAGAGCGCGCAGGCGGUCGUUCAAGUCGCGUGUGAAAGCCCCCGGCUCAACUGGGGAGGGUCACGCGAUACUGAUCGACUCGAAGGCAGGAGAGGGUAGUGGAAUUCCCGGUGUAGUGGUGAAAUGCGUAGAUAUCGGGAGGAACACCAAUUGCGAAGGCAGCUCGCUGGGACGUUACCGACGCUGAGACGCGAAAGCGUGGGGAGCAAACAGG
rnacentral:rRNA from 1 species